rnacentral:rRNA from 1 species
AGCGAACGUAUCACUUAAAGCGAUUCAGCGGGUUACGAUUGACGGAGCGAAGCGACGUCAAAGCGUAUACAAAGUCGAGUCGGUUUAAGGAUACGUUCGUUGGGUAGGGGAGCGUUCUGUAAGCCUGUGAAGGUGGCCUGUGAGGGUUGCUGGAGGUAUCAGAAGUGCGAAUGCUGACAUAAGUAACGAUAAAGCGGGGGAAAAGCACGCUCGCC